ACGACCAUAUCAUAUUGAAACAUCGGUUCCCGUACGAUCACCCAAGUUAAGCAACGUUGAGCAGCACUGCCUAGAUGGGUGACCGCUUGGAGAUACCAGGUGCUGUAAG